GAUGAAGAACGCAGCGAAAUGCGAUAAGUAAUGUGAAUUGCAGAAUUCAGUGAAUCAUCGAAUCUUUGAACGCACCUUGCACCCUUUGGCAUUCCGAAGGGUAUGCUCGUUUGAGUGUCAUUGUACUCUCACACUUCCGAUCUUUGGAUUGGGAGCGGUGGACUUGGGUGUUGCUGCUUACUGUGGCUCACCUCAAAUCGAUUCGUGCACCUCUUGGUUGGACAUAGUACGGCGUGAUAAGUGUCUUCGCCGGCACCUCAGUAGAGGGUGGCUGAUCGGGAGCUCUGUGCUUCAAACCGUCCUCGGACAACAACUGACAACUUGACCUCAAAUCGAGUAGGACCACCCGCUGAACUUAAGCAUAUCAAUAAGCGGAGGA
rnacentral:misc_RNA from 1 species